GUUGGGCGUGGUCCCGUAUGCUUGUAAUCCCAGCGACUCUGGAGACUGGGACAGGAGGAUCAUGAGUUUAAAGCCAGCUUCGCAAUUCAGGCAGGCCUUAAGCAACUCAGCUGAGAUCCUGUUUCUA
rnacentral:sRNA from 1 species